CGGAAAGGCCCUUCGGGGUACUCGAGCGGCGAACGGGUGAGUAACACGUGGGCAACCUGCCCCUAGCUCUGGGAUAACUCCGGGAAACCGGGGCUAAUACCGGAUACGACCACGACCGGCAUCGGUCGUGGUGGAAAGUUUUUCGGCUAGGGAUGGGCCCGCGGCCUAUCAGCUUGUUGGUGGGGUCACGGCCCACCAAGGCGACGACGGGUAGCCGGCCUGAGAGGGCGACCGGCCACACUGGGACUGAGACACGGCCCAG
rnacentral:rRNA from 1 species